rnacentral:lncRNA from 1 species
CGUUCUCUAGUUAAUUGACAGGGUGUUAAUCUCUCAUCUAUUGUUUUGUAUGUUAACGGUAAAUGCCCUAAGAAUAUAAUUCAUUACACACAAAUCUACAUGUUUCAGUCAGCAAAUAUUUCAUGUAUAGUAAAAUUUAGAAUGGAAAUGGGGAAUGUGUCAAAGAGACAACAACCCGACCAAAAAAAAAAAAAAAAAAAAAAAAAAAAAAAAAAAAAUAUACAACUGCUUUUUAUAUAUAAAUACUAUUCCCUCUAAAGUUAUUAAAAUUUGAAUUGUUUACACCAAUGCAGAGUGUCGGGGAAAUCUACAGCUAUAUGCUAUAUUAAUUAAACAGCUUCAUUGGGAUUCAUUGUUAACCAAC